AUUGGAGGUGAUUGCUGGAGACGUGGGGAUUUCCAUGGCUGUGGCUGUUGUGAUCUGGGCCCUCUUUGUUUGGCGACAUGUGUGGAGUCCUGGUCACAAUCUCCUCUUGUUGGAUGAAAUACAUCAGGAUGAAGAGUCUUAAUUGUGAGGUGAUACCCCACUGAGUGUCAGAGUAGGUGGGGUGUGCAUGAUGCUCUUUAGUUUGGGUCAUUUGAAGUGAUAGAUGCAGGAGGAUGGUAGAUUUGUUCUUGCUGAAAUCUGAGAACCUGCCUGUAUCGGUGAAUGUCACCCAGUGCUCAGCAAAUGCAUUCAGAUGAAAUCAUUGAGAUCUUGGGUUUCAGGCCUAAGUGAUCACUACAGGUACUACUAGUUCCUGCCUGUGGAAUAAACAUUUGCUGAAUGCAAUUCAACAUAAUAACACUUUGUGCAGCAAGCAAUCACUCAUCACCCUCUGCCUCUUCUCACUGUUGUGACAAUCCCAACUCUAUCCAGACCACAAAUAUGUUAACCUCUCCUAGAAGUGUUUUACUAAUAAACUGCUUAACUUCACUUUCUUUGACCAGAAGUCAGGGUGCAUUACUUUCCUAUUAAAUGUAUUUGAUUUUACUGGGCUGUUUUUUCUGUCUGUUCUCUGGAGAUAGUGAAGGGUGCUAACGGGAGAUGCAGGAUGUAGUCUUUCCACUAACAAGUCAUGCAGGUAGUGCUUGGUGAUGCCAGUGACCUGCAAAAUGGCCUUGGACAGGUCACUUUUUUUGUUUUCUCCCCUUCCCUAUUGCUCCAGCUCAUCUGUUGAACACUGUCAGUAAUUUGGGGCAAGAYCUGUACAACGUAUACCCUUUAUAAAGAGCUGCAGGCUCUAAUGAAAUGAGUCUUUUAGUGGUUGAUCAAUUUGCAGAAGGUAUUGCUGUUAUCUGUACUUUUUCUUCACAGAAAGCAUCAAUUGCAGAGCAAGGACUGGAGCCAAAUCUCUUGACUCCUGGCCCAGUAUCCCAUCUGGAAUGGGACCUUGUUCUAGAGUUGGAGCUCCAUGACACUAUUAUGUAUUUGUGCAACAGGACUAUUYACGAAAUGCUAGUGUGCACUACGGGGCCGUUUCAUACUGGUGGAAU
rnacentral:lncRNA from 1 species